AAAAAUAAAAAGCCUGCAACUUACUUCAAAGCCAAGCCAGAGAACUUUUUUUUGUGUUAUCUUGCUCUCUAUCUCUCUCUCUCCUCUUUCUUCCCUCUAUUCGAUAAAAACCCUCUGUUGAAAAAGGUUCGGACUUUGAUCGAAUCUGAGUUUCGAUUCCCAAAAUGGCAUCUGGAUCGUCGGGUCGGGCCAACUCGGGCUCGAAGGGUUUCGAUUUCGGUUCUGAUGACAUUCUUUGCUCUUAUGAAGAUUACGGCAAUCAGGACUCUUCCAAUGGAAGUCAUUCGGAUCCUGUAAUCGGUACUAAUUCCAGCAAGGAUUUUCACAAAAGUAGAAUAGCAAGGUCAUCUAUGUUCCCUGCCACUUCUUACGGCCAGCCAGAAGAUUCUUUCAACCAAGAUAUCAUCGCUGUUUUUGAGAAAAGCAUGAAAAAACAUACUGAUAACCUUAUGCGCUUUCUUGAGGGGAUCAGCUCACGGAUGUCCCAAUUGGAAUUGUAUUGCUACAACCUUGACAAAUCAAUUGGAGAAAUGCGAUCUGAUUUAAUUCGUGACCAUGGAGAGGCAGAUUCAAAGCUUAAAUCUAUUGAGAAACAUCUUCAAGAAGUGCACAGGUCUGUUCAGAUCCUAAGAGACAAACAAGAACUUGCUGAGACUCAGAAAGAAUUAGCUAAGCUUCAUCUUGUGCAGAAGGAGUCCUCUUCAUCAAGCCAUUCCCAAUCUGAGGAAAAAGCUUCACCACCUGCAUCUGAACCCAAGAAAACUGACAACACACCUGAAAUACAUAACCAACAGUUGGCCCUUGCUUUGCCCCACCAGGUGGUGCCGCAACAACAGACUGCCCCUGUGCCCCCACCAGCCCAAGCACCACCUCAGAGUGUGGCCCAACAGCAAUCUUAUUAUUUGGCUCCAGCCCAGACACAACACCCUCAGAGCCAAUAUCUGUCUUCUGAUCCUCAAUAUCGAGCACCCCAAAUGCAAGACAUCUCUAGGGUUGCUCCACAGCCAACGCAGACACAAAUAAGUCAAACAACACCAGGCCAACAAUUUCCUCAGUAUCAGCAGCAGUGGGCCCAACAGUUACCACCACAGGUACAAGCAACACAACAGGCCUCCAUGCAGCCUCAGAUAAGGCCCUCAUUGCCAUCAGUUUAUCCUACCUAUCCACCCCCAGGCCAACCAACAAAUUCAUCGCCACCGGAGACGCUGCCAAACAGCAUGCCUUUGCAAGUGUCAUAUGCAGCAGUUCCACAACCCUUAUCUAGUCGUGUUGAUGCCAUGCCCUAUGGAUAUGGGGCUGGUAGAACUGUUCCUCAACAAACUUCACCUCAGCAAAUCAAGGGCACUUAUGGAGCACAACCUGGUGAUGGAUAUGCAACUGCUGGUCCCCAUUCCACACUUCCCACAGGGAGUGCAUACAUGAUGUAUGAUAGCGAAGGGGGAAGGACACAUCAUCCGCCUCAACAACCUCACUUUCCACAGGGUGGAUAUCCACCAGCAAAUAUUGGCCUACAAAAUCCUCAGUCAGCUACUGGCACAAACAUGUUGGCUCGAAAUCCAAGCCAUUCACACUUUGUUCGGAACCACCCUUACAGUGAGUUGAUUGAGAAGAUGGUGAGCAUGGGUUUCAGGGGUGAUCUUGUUGUCAGUGUGAUACAAAGGAUGGAGGAGAGCGGUCAGCCUGUGGAUUUCAAUGCUGUGCUUGAUCGGUUGAAUGUGCAUUCUUCUGGAGUUUCUCAGAGAGGAUGGUCAGGGUGAGGCAGUGAUUUAGGUUUGAAACCCUCCAUUGUAGUGACAAUGAUGCUUAAGUUUGACUUGAAUUUAAAUAAAGUCUGUUAUGAUGCACUAUCACUUGGAUUAGUUUGUAUAUCGUGUAUCUUUAAGGGUCAUAUUUUGGUAAUUCCUCCUCUGUUGCUUGUGUAAUGGAUUUCUCCCUUGGAUUUUUAGAAGGGGAAAAGUCCAGUUGCAAUAUUAGGCUUUUGAAGGAUCAUGGAUUUGUGUGAAAUUUAAGGCUUGCCAAAUGCCAAGCGUGGCAUCUAUGCCCCUUUGAAUAAAGUUUCCCUUUCAUGGUCUAUGUAUGCUUGAGCUUUUCGAUUCUUCUUGUGUUUGAUUUCUAUCUUUAUGACAGUAUGAAAUUCUAAUUUAUUUAAACGUUGAAGCGUUUAUUUUGAAAAUUUUAAUUAGCCUAGUUAAUAUCUUUCCUUUUU
rnacentral:misc_RNA from 1 species